rnacentral:rRNA from 1 species
GUGCCAGCAGCCGCGGUAAGACAGAGGCCCCAAGCGUUAGGCGGAAUCACUGGGCUUAAAGCGUGUGUAGGCGGAUCGUUAAGUGUCUUGUGAAAUCCCACGGCUCACCCGUGGAACUGCUGGGCAUACUGGCGAUCUUGGGCCAACUAGGGGCAGCCGGAACAAGCGGUGGAGCGGUGAAAUGCGUAGAUAUCGCUUGGAACGCCGAAGGUGAAAACAGGCUGCUGGGGUUGUGCCGACGCUGAGACACGAAAGCCAGGGGAGCAAACGGGAUUAGAUACCCCGGUAGUCC